rnacentral:lncRNA from 10 species
GAGAAGACCCGAGGCCUCUGCUACGAACACUGGCAGCCGAUGGAAAAUUCAGACGGAUUUGGGACAGUAUGCAGAGUUCUCCAAGCGACAGAUUAACAGAGGCUCUUGAAGAAUAACUGCGUAAUCACGUGUUCUGCUCAAAAGAAGGCCUGAAUGCCCAGUGCCUUAUUUGGCUUUCAGGACAGGGUCUUGCGGUGUCACCCAGGCUAGAGUACAGUGGUGCAAUCAUAGCUCACUGCUGCCUCAAACUCCUAGACUCAAGCAAUCCUCCUGCUUCAGCCUCCCGAGUAGCUGGGACUACAGGUAGAUGAUGGGCUCCACGGGAACAGAGCAAACGUUCGCUCCUGCUCCUACACGGUGUUUCCUCUAAACCUGAGGCUCAGCCGACUUGUCAUCACUUAAAACCCAAUUCAGAGCGGGGGGGCACUGCCAGUGAAUAGUUCAUCACCGACUCAGUUUCCCCAUGUGUAUGCUGUGGUAUUGGAUCAGCAACGAGAUAAGAAGAUCUCUCCCAUUUCCAAGCGUCUAUGAUGAUUCUGAGGCACAAGGUCACAUUUGACAGUACUAGGAAACCCAGGAAACAAGAAGCAAAGAUGACAAAGGCUGUGUCUGCCUGGGCAGACGAUCUAUUUGGACAAGAUAAUAGACCCAGGCAUGGACAUGCUCUCCAAGAAAGAUGCCCUGACAGCUGCUCACACUGAAGCUGAAUCGAACAUUCCAAUCCUUAGAGGUUCCAGCGAAGAUCUUGAAGUCUCCCUGAGCCAUUGACACAAUGGCCAUGCCAUCCCAGUGAUAAAACACAAAUUGUGGCCUUGUUUUGGACAGAAAUAAAGAGCCCAGUUUGUUAGUGAUUUACUGAUAAUAACUGAAUCGAGUACUAAUACUUGGCGAUUUUAAAAGCCAUCAUGUUAAAAAGACCACCUGAUUCCCAGUGACCCUGCAGUGACUGGGUUUGGGCAGCUCGUCCCCUGCACCUGUUUGGGGCUGUGCCAGCCACUUCCAGUGAGAACAUCGCAUUAACUUGCGGUCGCAGACCUGGCUGGACCCCUUGAACCAAAUUCCUUUCUGACCUUAUCAGACCCCAAAUAAAAGAGCUCACCAGGCCCCUCAGCCUACGUGACCCACCUGCCCAGUGAAAAAAGUAGGGCCCUGUUCUGUUCUCUGAGGAUGGUCAGUGUGCUCUUUGAUGAAAACGGUUUCUAAGCUGAGGCCUGAGACCUAGAUCAUUGUUCUCACAGCGUGUGCUUGACCAGCCACACCAGAAGCACCCAGGCUGCUGGCUAAAAACACUGAUGCUGGGGCCCACCCUAGCCCCUGGGUAGGGGGUAGAGACCUAAGGUUUGGCAUUUUUACAAGCUCCUAGGGUGAUUCUUAGAUGCCCUGAUGAUUGAGAACCACUGCUCGAGCUUCUUAAAUGGCUGCUGAAGAAUGAUU